UCCUAAACAGCUAGCCCGCCAACGCAACUAAUACUUAUUUAUACAUACCUCCCAAUGUACUGAAAUAAACAAACCAAACCAUUUUACCCCCUUAGUAUGAGCGACAGAAAUGAAAUCACCGGAGCAAUAGAAAAAGUACCGCAAGGGAAUGCUGAAAGAGAAAUGAAAUAACCAUCCAAAGCUACAAAAAGCAGAGCUUAUCCCUCGUACCUUUUGCAUCAUGAUUUAGCUAGUAACAGUCAAGCAAAAAGUAUUUUAGUUUGACCCCCCGAAACCAAGUGAGCUACUCCAAGACAACCUAAAUUCUAGGGUAAACCCGUCUCUGUGGCAAAAGAGUGGGAAGAGCUUUGAGUAGGGGUGACAGACCUACCGAACUUGGUUAUAGCUGGUUGCUUGAAAAAUGAAUAGGAGUUCCGCUUCUUAAAUUCUUACCCCCCUCGAUUUUAUCCUUUAUAACAGACAGCAGAAUAUCAAGAAAAUUAAGAAAGUUAAUCAAAGGGGGUACAGCCCCUUUGAAACAAGGUACAACUUUUUUAGGAGGGUACAGAUCAUAUUUCACUUAAGGAACCUAUGUCUUGGUAGGCCUAAAAGCAGCCAUCCAACCAGAAAGCGUUAAAGCUCUAACAUUCCUUCCUCCCUAAUACUGAUAACAAGUCUUAGCCCCCUAACCAUAUCAAGCCGCUCCAUCAAAGCAUGGAAGUGAUUAUGCUAAAAUGAGUAAUAAGAGAAUACGUCUCUCUCCCCGCACAUGUGUAAAUCGGAGCGGACUCCCCACCGAAACUUAACGGGCCCAAACCAAGAGGGCAUUGAAUAGAAGACCUCACACUAGAAAACUAUCCAAAACCCCACCGUUAAUCCCACACUGGCGUGCCCUCAGGGAAAGGUUAAAAGGAAAAGAAGGAACUCGGCAAACACACUCCACAAGCCUCGCCUGUUUACCAAAAACAUCGCCUCUUGUAAACCUCACAUAAGAGGUCCUGCCUGCCCAGUGACCCCUGUUCAACGGCCGCGGUAUUUUAACCGCGCAAAGGUAGCGCAAUCACUUGUCCCUUAAAUGAGAACCAGUAUGAAUGGCUAGACGAGGGCUUAACUGUCUCCUUUUCCCAACCAAUGAAAUUGAUCUUCCCGUGCAGAAGCGGGAAUACUAACAUAAGACGAGAAGACCCUGCGGAGCUUUAGACGCCAGAACAGAUCACGUCAAAUACCUCUCUCAAAGAAGUAACAACAAAUGAACCCUGUUCCACGUCUUAGGUUGGGGCGACCACGGUGAACAGAAAAACCCCCGCGUGGACUGAGAGCAUAUAUUCACACUUAUUAAUACUGCUUCUCACAACCAUGAGCUACAGCUCUAAAUAACAGAACUUCUGACCAAAAAAAUGAUCCGGCAAUGCCGAUUAACGGACCAAGUUACCCCAGGGAUAACAGCGCAAUCCUCUUUAAGAGUCCAUAUCGACAAGAGGGUUUACGACCUCGAUGUUGGAUCAAGACAUCCUAAUGGUGCAACCGCUAUUAAGGGUUCGUUUGUUCAACGAUUAAAGUCUUACGUGAUCUGAGUUCAGACCGGAGUAAUCCAGGUCAGUUUCUAUCUAUGAUACAUUCUCCUCUAGUACGAAAGGACCGAGAAGAAAAGGCCCAUACCAAAAUAUGCCUUACCCUUACCCAAUGACACUAACUAAAAUGGGCAAAAGGGCGUCCCCCAAUGCUACAGAUAAUAGCAU
rnacentral:rRNA from 1 species